UCCAGGACAGCUGCUUCCAGGCAUCUCCGAGCGCCAUGAUCUCCCGACGGACGGCUAAAAGCCUCCUAGGUGCUUGCUCGCUCUUCUUCCUGCUCAGUUUCGAGUAUAUUGGUUUUCACCCCCGGUGCUGGUAGUAGCUGUAAGCAAA